rnacentral:rRNA from 1 species
GACGAACGCUGGCGGCGUGCUUAACACAUGCAAGUCGAACGGAAAGGCCCUUCGGGGUACUCGAGUGGCGAACGGGUGAGUAACACGUGGGUGAUCUGCCCUGCACUUUGGGAUAAGCCUGGGAAACUGGGUCUAAUACCGAAUAGGACCACGCGCUUCAUGGUGUGUGGUGGAAAGCUUUUGCGGUGUGGGAUGGGCCCGCGGCCUAUCAGCUUGUUGGUGGGGUAAUGGCCUACCAAGGCGACGACGGGUAGCCGGCCUGAGAGGGUGACCGGCCACACUGGGACUGAGAUACGGCCCAGACUCCUACGGGAGGCAGCAGUGGGGAAUAUUGCACAAUGGGCGCAAGCCUGAUGCAGCGACGCCGCGUGAGGGAUGACGGCCUUCGGGUUGUAAACCUCUUUCAAUAGGGACGAAGCGCAAGUGACGGUACCUAUAGAAGAAGCGCCGGCCAACUACGUG